GACGAACGCUGGCGGCGUGCUUAACACAUGCAAGUCGAACGGAAAGGCCCUGCUUUUGUGGGGUGCUCGAGUGGCGAACGGGUGAGUAACACGUGAGUAACCUGCCCUUGACUUUGGGAUAACUUCAGGAAACUGGGGCUAAUACCGGAUAGGAGCUCCUGCUGCAUGGUGGGGGUUGGAAAGUUUCGGCGGUUGGGGAUGGACUCGCGGCUUAUCAGCUUGUUGGUGGGGUAGUGGCUUACCAAGGCUUUGACGGGUAGCCGGCCUGAGAGGGUGACCGGCCCCCUUGGGACUGGGAUUCCGCCCCGACCCCUCCGGGGGGCAGGCGGGGGGAAUUUUUGCCCAUGGGCCGAAGCCUUAUUCCGCAACGCCCGGUUCGGGAUGACCGCCCUCGGGGUGUAAACCGCUUUCGCCUGUGACGAAGCGUGAGUGACGGUAAUGGGUAAAGAAGCACCGGCUAACUACGUG
rnacentral:rRNA from 1 species